GAGUGUUACGGCUCUUUUAGAAUUCGUCUAGCACAUUUUCCGGUCCACAAUGGAAAGCCCCC
rnacentral:snRNA from 1 species